CUCCCUGACGCCCAGCUCUGCCGGUGAGGCCCCGUCCGCGUGUGUGGUCUGCGAAGAGGAGGGCGGGGGUGGUGCAAUCGAGUUCCCUGAGUGAGGCACGCCAGGAAACCCUCUUCCGUCACCUUCGAUGGAAGGCAAGCACGGCGCCAAUCCAACAAAUUUAUGAAUUUUACGUAUUUAAUUCAUGUUUUUCUUUUUUUUUUUUAAUUCUAUUUCCUUGGAAUCACGGUUACUCCACCACCUCGCCAUGCAAAAUCUGUGAACAUUUGGGUGGGUCAUGGAUUUGUGAUGCUCCUUCACGGAUUCCGUUGUUCUCUAUUGUUUCAUUUUUUUUCUCUCUGUUCUGCUCUCUUUCUUCUAUGUUUCCUGGUUUUUUCUUUUUAUCUGAUUUACACUUUUCUAUCUGCUUCUCCUGGCAUUGCUAUUAACUCUCCGCACACCCUUCGCCAUCACCUCCCUGCAUCGCCACACGAUCGAGCAUAAGUUACAUAAGCAGAGUAUAAAUCUCUGAGGUAUAAGCAGUGCUUAGUAAAUCAACUAUGCUUUGAUUGAAGCAAUGAGUAGGUACAGCCAGCAAGCCCCCUUAGAACUGGAGUCCGGAGCCAAUCAGAUUGUAUUAAGUCAUGGAAAUCCACGAUUGGUAAGAAAAACACUUUCGCCCCCUCUGUUGGAUUUUUUCAAGUCCUCGGUUUCGAAGCUUUGGAGUUGUUCCUCUCCCCCCUUUGAUCCUCGAUCUGGCCCGAGGUUACUUUCUCUUUCGCUUUUCGUCAGAGGAACACGUUGGACGCGUUCUAACCGACGGCCCUUCGACUGGUUCCGGUGCUUAGAACGAGUACCGAUUUGGAUCUAACUACUGGGUCCUUCAACUGCCGCCGCUUUCUGAUGCGUCGGACCUUGUGGAUGCAUCUCAGCCAUCCACGUCUGCCGAGUUGGCCAACCGUGAGUCUUAGGUCUUCGGGUCACCCAGCCUAUGACUCAUCCUUCCCCGGGCGAGACUGCUCUCACACCUGCAUCGGUGUCAAAUUUCUCACCGCCGAUGACUCAGCCCAUGCCAUCCACGGCUACUGGGCUAGCCAACAGCGGUCAAUCUGAGUCUUCGGUCAGUUGCGUGUGGACUUGGGAACUGCAAGAGAAUAUUUGAUCGCCAAUCCAGCUUCUGACCCAGCUGCCAGCUACAACUCCCUCGAUGUUGCCUGCGGCUCCCCCCAAUAGCUCCAGAAGCCAUUCAUUCCUGGGCUAAGCUCUCCACCUCCCCUCAGGCCUCGGUCUCAUCCUCUCCAUCCUGUGGCGAUGGCUUUGCAAUGGGCCUUUGCUCCUCGGCCACCUAUCAUGGCCCUAUGCUGCGUGGCUUAGAGCCCGAUUCCGUUGGCGAUGAGAUCGUUGAUGUUCCACUUCGAUAUGAGGAAUCUGCUGCCUCCAAAACCCCCAAUCAACAUGCUGGGGAGGCCUUCUCCUUGUCAGCUUGUCACUCUUUGAGAUGUUUGAAUUGGGCUUAGGCAGUAGAGAGCUAUUCAGAAUUAUGGGCAAGUCUUGUUGGUUAUUAUGUUAUUGUUGUGUAAGUAUAUUUUGUAUGUAAUGAAAUGUUGUCGAUGAACCGAAAUUGAUAUACCUUGUAAAAGUGUUAGAAGAUCUCUCUUAUUUAGAAUUUCGGAAUGUUAAGUCUAGUUUACGAUGAUAUGGACUUGUGGUAAAUGGUUGGAGUUAUGAUUGUAUAAAUUACAUAGCUUGUGGAUUUAUAAAUGUUGUUCAUGUUUGUUAA